GUAACUUUAUGUAUUCAUAUUCAUAUUUUUAAAUUCAUAUUCGUAUUUUUAUACAUUUGUGUGUAAAUUACAUAGGCAUGCAAAAUUAGGUUUUCAUACAUGUGUGUUUUUAUGUGAGUGUGACUCUAAAAGCUAUGACUGUAAACAUUCAUGAGUACAACUCUAUUUCUACGACUACGAAUUCUUGAGUGUGAACACGAAUUCAAGUUUACGGGUACGAGUAAAAAAACAGUUGAAAUGACGUCACUGCAGUCCCAGGCCAGGGUAAUCGAACCUCGAUUACAUUUAAUGCGCAUGCGUCACAGGUGAAAAAUGGCUAACCGACCGGAGGCUUCUAGCCCAGGCUCAGCAUCACAGGCACCACUGGCUACUCGGUUACUGCAGCGUUUGGAGUCAAGGAUCACUGAUACAUUAAGUCAACCUCACUUUAAUUUGGACUACUCCCAAUUCACUAUAUGAAACUGUCUGUAUAGAUACAAUAUCUGGAUCCAGCAACAAACAACUGCUCAAACACUGCCCUUUCAUUUUCCUGAAGGCAGUGGAAAACUAUGGCUGGCCUUCCAGGAUUAAGCGGCUAUGGCGAGAUGUCUGGACCUGUGUCACUCAUCUGUACUAUGACGUUCUUCAGUCUAAAAGAUGAUGGCCUGUUGGAUUUGUCAGAUGCUGUACAUCUGAUUUGUGCCCACUACAUGUUCCUUCCACGUCUGGCAGAGGCCCUUCACACCUUCAGAGGGCUGGGACAACCAUCCCUUAAAAUCUGAAGGUGGACUCUCCCCUAACCAACUCUGGGUUAUGGGUAACAAGCAGAACCCUUGUCUCCCAGAUGGAGAUUUGCAGAACAUGGAGCUGUUUGGAACUGACUGGGAGAUGUUUGAAGGUGUGCCUGAAGAACCUUAUGGAGUUGAAGUCCCACAGAUUGAGUGCCCAUUGACUUCAGCUUUUAUGGAAACUGUACAGUCCAUGAUCAAUCCUUCGGCAUCGUCAGAGUCAUUUGGCAGAGACAUUUACAUAGCAAUGGUUUAGUGCAUUGAAAGUGUGACACAAAGAAAUGUCUAAAAGAUUUAAUGGUAUGAAGUUCAACACUUGCCAUCAAAGACUGACCGUUACAAAAGGUUUGUUAAUUUUAACAUGGGAGUAACAGUGAGGUACAGUUGUGCUCAUAAGUGUACAUGCCAAUGCUUAAGU